GGUAAAGAUGCAAAGAUUAUUGUGGCAUGUUCGACAGGAGGAACAUUGAAACCAACACAGAACUUUCCUGAUGGGAAGCAAUCGAGGUCCCUGAUAGCAGCUUACUUGUUGGUCCUGAAUGGUUACAAGAAUGUGUUCCAUCUGGAUGGAGGACUCUACACAUGGUUCAAGGAAGGCCUACCGGCUGUUGAAGGAGAAGAAUAAGCAAUUAGGACAUAUUACUUGUAAUUAGUGCAUCAGUAUUCAUGAACAUGGAGGUGUGAUGAGUUGUAACGAGGCAUCUUCUCG
rnacentral:misc_RNA from 1 species